UCGAUCUGAAACGACUCCCUUCAUUUUUAUCCGUUGAUUUGUUAUAGGGCUUCUAUAAAAUUAGGGUUCCAUCGCAUUAGUUUUGUAUCCAUCAUCGUGGUGUUUGAUCUUGAAGUUCGUGUUGACGUCUCUGCGGCUCUGUUGGCUUAGAUCCGUCUCUUUGAAGGGGUCUCCUGGUUUCGUCUCGUUUGAUAAUAACCUCCGUCCUAUCUUCCUUUCUUCCUUUCUUCCUUUCUUCAACAUCUUUCUCUCAACCUUUGCCGAAGUUAGUUUUCUUGAUCCGUUGAUUUUGUAGUUUCUUGAUUUCUGUGAACUGGUAAUGAUCAGAUCGCUAAGGGAUGAAGCGGAUCGAGGUCGAUCUUUGCGGAGGAUCUGUUUGGCGUCGGUGAUGUUUCUCUACUUUAAUUAAUUCCAAGUUUAGAUUUUUUUUCUUCUCUUUUGUGUUUUACGUUCUGCAGGUUUAGCUGUAUGGAGAGAAAUUUGUUGACUAUGAGCGAGCUUCGGAUUUCGUCGAUGGUAGCCGGAGAUCGGGUGAUGAUCUACCAUGGGGACCUAUUCAGACCUUUUUCUUUGAAUCUUUCGAUGUUAGGUGAUUGGUGACGAUUGCUGAUGGUGGAGUCUUUGUGAGGUAUAUUUUCGCUAUGGUGAGACGUUUGUAACGCAGGGUGGAGCUGCGUGAUCUUAUGUUCUCUUCAAGAUCGGCGUAAAGAUAUGGAAUGGAAGAAAAUAUUUAGGUGAGCGGCUGGUGAGGUUAUUGAAAGAUGUAAAAGAGAUCGGUACAAAGCCCUGAAUCAUUCAAAGGGUGUUUGUCCAAUCUUCUUUGUCAUCAGGCCUUUGCCAUGACGGGUGCGCUUGCAUGGCAGGUCAAAAAAGAUAAUAAAAAGUCUUUGUUUGUGUUUUCGGGGAGAUCGCACGUGGUUCUAGCCCGGGAUCUCCCCUUCUUCGUGUCGGCUCUGUUCUCUUUUUCCUCUUGUCCUUGUUCUUAUGUUUCGCCUCUGUUCGGAUCUCCAACUCUCGAUUACGUACGUAAAUCCUGGAUCAAACUGAAGAAUGAGAUCGGUAACACAACAUGAACGACGCCAAGAAGGAAUCGAGAUGGCUAUCCUGAUUUCAAAGUUCUUGUUGUAACUCCUAUGUGGAGUCGGGGCUGGGAUAUGAUGUUAGGGGCCGGAUAUUGCGGAUUAAGAAUUUUUGCACUCUCGUAAUUGUUGCUGUGUAAUUGUGGCAAUUGGAUGUGGUCUUGAAGCUGGACGGAUUUCUGAUCGUGCAGUAGCUUCUCAGUUGUGCCUUUCAUCUGCUACCGAUCUGCGACUGAUGUUGAUGCUGAUACUGAUACUGAAGUUACCUCUGAUGGGCUUGAUUUUGCCCCAGCAGAUGAUGUUGCUGGAGCUGCUGGUUAUCAAUAAUUUCCUUUUUGUGCAGUAGAGCGUUUAUGUUUUGUUGCAACUCAAGACAAGAAGAUAUAAAAUAGGUGAAAAUUAGGAAAAGUUCUCUUCGAGGAUUCGAGUCCUUCCAAUUUUAUCCUAAGAUUAGUCGGCGAUUUUGAGUCAAUUGAUAUCUUUUCUAUGGAUGUUCCUUUUGUUUUUCGGAUUGUGGAAGUUAUUGAAAUUAAGAAGUGAUUUUUUUUUCUUUUUUU